rnacentral:rRNA from 1 species
AUUGAACGCUGGCGGCAGGCUUAACACAUGCAAGUCGAGCGGAGAUGAGGUGCUUGCACCUUAUCUUAGCGGCGGACGGGUGAGUAAUGCUUAGGAAUCUGCCUAUUAGUGGGGGACAACAUUCCGAAAGGAAUGCUAAUACCGCAUACGCCCUACGGGGGAAAGCAGGGGAUCUUCGGACCUUGCGCUAAUAGAUGAGCCUAGGUCGGAUUAGCUAGUUGGUGGGGUAAAGGCCUAACCAGGCGACGAUCUGUAGCGGGUCUGAGGGGAUGGUCCGCCACACUGGGACUGAGACACGGCCCAGACUCGUACGGGAGGCAGAAGUGGGGAAUAUUGGACAAUGGGCGGAAGCCUGAUCCAGCCAUGCCGCGUGUGUGAAGAAGGCCUUUUGGUUGUAAAGCACUGUAAGCGAGGAGGAGGCUACCUGGAUUAAUACUCUAGGAUAGUGGACGUUACUCGCAGAAUAAGCACCGGCUAACUCUGUGCCAGCAGCCGCCGUAACAC